rnacentral:rRNA from 1 species
GAUGAACGCUGGCUACAGGCUUAGCACAUGCAAGUCGAGGGGAAACGACGGGGAAGCUUGCUUCCCCGGGCGUCGACCGGCGCACGGGUGAGUAACGCGUAUCCAACCUGCCUCUGACUGAGGGAUAACCCGUCGAAAGUCGGCCUAAUACCUCAUGGUAUCGUCUGCGGGCAUCCAACGACGAUUAAAGAUUUCAUCGGUCAGGGAUGGGGAUGCGUCUGAUUAGCUUGUUGGCGGGGUAACGGCCCACCAAGGCUACGAUCAGUAGGGGUUCUGAGAGGAAGGUCCCCCACAUUGGAACUGAGACACGGUCCAAACUCCUACGGGAGGCAGCAGUGAGGAAUAUUGGUCAAUGGGCGAGAGCCUGAACCAGCCAAGUAGCGUGCAGGAAGACGGCCCUAUGGGUUGUAAACUGCUUUUAUGCGGGGAUAAAGUGAGGGACGUGUCCCUCAUUGCAGGUACCGCAUGAAUAAGAACCGGCUAAUUCCGUG